ACAAUGAUCAACAACAAAAGUCAAAAUGGCCAUCGCCCUGUCGGUGUAUCUCUAGUCUCAAUCACCUUUUGUAUCUCUUCAAACCUGUCAAUCAUCGUUCUUAGUUUUAAGUGAUCAGUAAAGUUUCCAAGAAACAAAAACACUUGCAAUAAAGAAGAUUCCUAAAAUCAACUUAAGAAAAAAAUUCAUCAUCAUACUGACAGGAAGAUUUUUCGUAGUUGUUUGUGAAUUGACCCAAACUGUUGAACCUGUUAAGAACAACUUAUUCAUCUCGUUACCAGUAACAUGGCAAAAUUUUCCACAGUCCAGGCAAGAGAAAUUCGAUGUGGGUUAUUCAACAUCAGAUGGGAAUUAAGAAAAGAUUUAAAGGAGAAAGGUUUCUGUCAAGAUUAUGUUAAACUUAAAGUAUACAAGUCAUCCUGGGUCUUUGACAUGGGUUUUGAAUAUUCUGUCGCACUUAAAAAAAGUAAGAAUUUAAACAAAAGUUUUACUGUCAAAGAUGUCAGCCAAGAAGAACUGGAAAACAACUCUGAAGAAGAAAUGGAGGAAGAAGAAGUGGAGGAAGAAGAAGCAGAUGAAUACUCAGUUAAUGGAAAUGAACCAGGAGAUGAUUUUGAUGAAGAUGGCAGUGAAAUUGGUCAUGAAGGUAAUGAAGAAGAUAGCAACAAUGAAGGUGAACACGAUGCUAAAAAACCAGAAGACCAGACGGAUGAGAGUUCUUCCCAUCUCAACAAAACUGAAAUUUGCCCUAUGCAUAUGUGGAUCUACACCUCUGAAUCUGUAUCAGGAAUUGAAAAGCAACUUGUAAAAGAUGAUAUUGAUAAUGGAUGGAGAGUAGAUUGGUGUGACUCUAAAUUACCCGAAUUCAUCAAUCUGUGGAUAGAUUUCGGAACUGAGUCCCCAACAGAAAAGAAUGUCAUCAAAACAAUGAGUGGCCUCGCCAGUAUGUUUCACGAUCAACAUCGGUGUGAUGUCAAAUUCCGCUUCAAAGAUGAAAAAUCCGUUGAUGCACACAUCUUAAUUCUUUCAGUUGGCAGCCCGGUGUUUUCGGCCAUGUUCCAGUCGGGUUUCCUAGAGUCCCAAACGCGUGAAGUGACCAUCACUGAUAUUGAUUUGGAAAUAUUUCUGCAACUUCUCGACUACCUGUACACUGGCAGCGCACCCAAACUCGCAGAUGAAAACAUCACCCAAUUACUCUUCGAGGCUGCGGAUAAAUACUCCGUCGAAAACCUUAAAAGUGAUUGUCUCGAAGCUCUGCAGGAACGAGUGAGACUCGACAACGUCGUCAACUUAUUGGUUUGGUCUAACUUUCACUCAACAAAACCGCUUUUUGAUAUGGCGUUGGAUUUCAUCGUUAACAAUUUUCGCAAGCUCUUUGUCCAAGCCGACUUCGAGGACUUCUUGAAGAAUUAUCCGGAUUUGUGCUUGAUGGUCAUGAAACGUGUCGCUUCCCUUCCGUGCCAAUGCGACCAAGAUGAAACAAUGCCAUCUACAGAAUCGUCAUCUUAAUUUUACGUUUCACCCAAUUUACUCCAAUCUGGGGUUUAUCUAUGCCUACUCGAUCAUUCUGAAUGAAGAGAAAGUAUCGUAAAACUUUUGUUAAUUUACUGAAAAGAUGGCAUCUUUCUCAAAUUUCUUGUUCCUGGUUCUGCUGCUCUUUUGCAUGUUUAAACAUAGUAAUAAAUCACCAAGGUUGACAUGUUAAA
rnacentral:misc_RNA from 1 species